rnacentral:lncRNA from 10 species
GAAGACAGCUUUCGGCCAGGCGGUGCACCUCGGUGCCGGAACCGGCGUGUUUGGGCUUCUUAGUUUCCUGUGGCUGCCGAAAUUCAUUCCAUCACAAUUCUGGAGGCCAGAAGUUCAAAAUCAACAUGUGGGCAGAGCCACGCACCCUCCAUGGGUUCUAGCGGAAGAUCCUUCCCUGCCUCGUCCAUCUCUUCCAGCUCCUGGUGGCCCUUGGCUUGUGGCUGUGCCACUCCAGUCUCCGUCUUCACGUCCGUCCCCCUCGUGCCCGUGACUCUGGGUCCCAAUUUCCCCUCCUGUCAGGUGUCUCUGUGACAGGACCC